ACAGCAGCAGCCGCGGGAAUACGUAGGUGGCAAGCGUUAUCCGGAAUUACUGGGUGUAAAGGGAGCGUAGACGGUUAAACAAGUCUGAAGUGAAAUGCCGGGGCUCAACCCCGGAGCUGCUUUGGGAACUGUAGAACUGGAGCGUCGGAGGGGUAAGCGGAAUUCCCAGUGUAGCGGUGAAAUGCGUAGAUAUUGGGAGGAACACCGGCGGCGAAGGCGGCUUACUGGACGACAACUGACGUUGAGGCUCGAAGGCGUGGGUAGCAAACAGGAUUAGAUACCCGAGUAGUCCCUGUCUCUUAUAC
rnacentral:rRNA from 1 species